rnacentral:piRNA from 1 species
UGAUAAGGCCUGCACCUGGUGGGGA